GAUGAACGCUGGCGGCGUGCCUAAUACAUGCAAGUCGAGCGAAGCGGGGACGGGUGACUAACACGUGGAUAACCUCCUAUAGGAAUGGGAUAACUUCUGUAAACCGGCGCUAAACACGAUACUUCUAAAUGGGUCCGCGCUGCAUUAGCUAGUUGGUAAGGUAACGGCUUACCAAGGCAACGAUGCAUAGCCGACCUGAGAGGGUGAUCGGCCACACUGGAACUGAGACACGGUCCAGACUCCUACGGGAGGCAGCAGUAGGGAAUCUUCCGCAAUGGACGAAAGCCUGAUGGAGCAACGCCGCGUGAGUGAUGAAGGUCUUCGGAUCGUAAAGCUCUGUUAUUAGGGAAGCGGUACCUAACCAGAAAGCCACGGCUAACUACGUGCCAGCAGCCGCGGUAAUAC
rnacentral:rRNA from 1 species